UUUGUCUUUAUGCAUUUCAUAUUGGGUGCUUUUCUUGGAAAAUCUCAGCUGAAAUCCUCUCAAAAAAAAAAAAAAUCACCGGUGGAAAGAGAAACCGAAAGCAGUGAUAUGAAUGUAUCAAACAUAGCAAAAAAAACAGAAACCAAUUUUUAAAAAAGGUUUGAUUUUCUCAUUCCUCUUAAUGUGAAAGUAAAUCUCAUUAUUACAGCCUGAAAAAUGGCAGUUUUCUUUUUUAAUACGAGGAUUGUAAUAUGUUUUUAAUUACUUUCAUCCCUUUUCUUGCUGCUUCCAUGAGCCUGAUGACAGCAGAGAUAACCGGUGCCACAGCGGACAGGCCUGUAGGCACACCUUAUGCAGUGGGAAUGCAGAGCCCACGGCACAUUAAACUACAUGGAAUAAUCCCUCCCUGCAGUCCUUUCUGCUUCCCAGUACAUGCUGCUUUGGACAGCUCAUCCUGGAUCUGCAAAGCUGGAAAACAAGAAUCAAGGAAAAAGAAAGCCAUUCUGAAAACAAGAGUACUGAAGAAAAGCCAACACGAUAAGCUCCCAACCUGGGCCGAGACAAAUGGCUGAGCCACUAGCACUGGAAAAAAAAGGGUCAAGGAGUUGAGCUGUAGUGCCCCAUUUAGGGAGCUAUUUGAACCCAAAGUGCUACAAAUAGUAAUGAAGAGUUCAGGGCAUUAGGGCUUGACAAGUCUUUCCUGCCUUCAAGGACCAAAACCCCUUCGGUUUCGGUUGAUUUCAUUGCAAAGGAAUUAAGAACUGCAGUAAAGAAGUGAAUUUACAUUACAGUGAAUUUACAUUAAAAUAAAUUAAAUAGA